rnacentral:misc_RNA from 1 species
GGAAGUAAAAGUCUAACAAGGUUUCCGUAGGUGAACCUGCGGAAGGAUCAUUAUUGUAUAACCGAGGUGCGAGGGCUGUCGCUGACCCGAAAGGUCGUGCACGCCCGAGUGCCCUCACACACAUCCAUCUCACCCCUAUGUGCACCACCGCGUGGGUCCCCCUUUGGCUUGUUCGGAGGGGGGCUUACGUUUUCACACAAACUUUGUAUGCAGUGUAGAAUGUAUUUUUUGUUUUUUGCGAUCACGCAAUCAAUACAACUUUCAACAACGGAUCUCUUGGCUCUC